CCUACGGGUGGCAGCAGUGAGGAAUAUUGGUCAAUGGCCGGAAGGCUGAACCAGCGAAGUCGCGUGAGGGACGACUGCCCUAUGGGUUGUAAACCUCUUUUAUAUGGGAAGAAUAAAUGCUACGUGUAGCAUGAUGCCUGUACCUUAUGAAUAAGCAUCGGCUAACUCCGUGCCGGCAGCCGUGGUAAUACGGAGGAUGCGAGCGUUGUCCGGAUUUAUUGGGUUUAAAGGGUGCGUGGGCGGUUUUGUAAGUUAGUGGUUAAACGUCGGGGCUUCACCUUGAUUUGCCAUUAAUACUGUAAGACUCGAGUUCAGACGAGGUAGGCGGAAUAAGUGAAGUAGCAGUGAAAUGCUUAGAUAUAACUUAGAACUCCGAUAGCGAAGGCAGGUUACCAGACUUCGACUGACGCUGAGGCACGAGGGCGUGGGUAGCGAACAGGAUUAGAUACCCGAGUAGUC
rnacentral:rRNA from 1 species